CGAGGAAGUGUCUAUCUUAAACAGUACAUCAAGUCUCAUCCCGAGGAAGUGUCUAUCUUAAACAGAAAAUCAUGUCUCAUCCCGAGGAAGUGUCUAUCUUAAACAGUACAUCAAGUCUCAUCCCGAGGAAGUGUCUAUCUUAAACAGUACAUCAAGUUUCAUCCCGAGGAAGUGUCUAUCUUAAACAGUAGAUCAAGUCUCAUCCCGAGGAAGUGUCUAUCUUAAUCAGUACAUCAAGUCUCAUCCCGAGGAAGUGUCUAUCUUAAACAGUACAUCAAGUCUCAUCCCGAGGAAGUGUCUAUCUUAAACAGUACAUCAAGAAGUGUCUAUCUUAAACAGUACAUCAAGUCUCAUCCUGAGGAAGUGUCUAUCUUAAACA
rnacentral:lncRNA from 1 species